rnacentral:lncRNA from 10 species
UUUUCCCAGCUACAUAUAAGGAAUUUGAAAGUCACAUAAAAUGGUUAAGAAAAUGUGCCAAGAUUACCUCAGUAAUUCUGGUCUGUGUUCUCAGGAGACCCUGGAAAUAAACAAUGAAAAACGUUGACCUCUUGGCGAGAAUGCAAAGAAGGGAACGCUUGCUUAUACGCUGUUGGUGAACUGUCACCCCUACAACUCAGCUUGCAACCAGCCCUGGCCACCAGUUUCCCCACACUGAGCUGAAUAUCGGACAUGCCCAUCUCAGACAUUCCAGCCCAUUCUGAAAUUCCACAUCGAUUCACCUGACAAAGUCUGAAGUUCCAGGGCAAUUUAUCUGGAAAAGCUUACCUGGAAUCACGUGUCAUUUCAACCAACAACUGUUGAAGAGGACGUGGCAUUAAAACCAAGGGUAUCAAUUAUUUAUAA